rnacentral:rRNA from 1 species
UACGUAGGGUGCGAGCGUUAAUCGGAAUUACUGGGCGUAAAGGGCGCGUAGGCGGCCAGAUUAGUCAGGCGUGAAAGCCCUGGGCUCAACCUGGGGACUGCGCUUGAGACGGUAUGGCUUGAGGGUGGAAGAGGCUCGCGGAAUUCCCAGUGUAGAGGUGAAAUUCGUAGAUAUUGGGAAGAACACCGGUGGCGAAGGCGGCGAGCUGGUCCAUCACUGACGCUGAGGCGCGACAGCGUGGGGAGCAAACAGG